AAGCAGGGGAUCGCAAGACCUUGCGCUUUUGGAGCGGCCGAUGUCUGAUUAGCUAGUUGGUGAGGUAAAGGCUUACCAAGGCUUCGAUCAGUAGCUGGUCUGAGAGGACGACCAGCCACACUGGGACUGAGACACGGCCCAGACUCCUACGGGAGGCAGCAGUGGGGAAUUUUGGACAAUGGGGGAAACCCUGAUCCAGCCAUGCCGCGUGAGUGAAGAAGGCCUUCGGGUUGUAAAGCUCUUUCAGCCGGAACGAAAAGGUUACGGUUAAUACCCGUGACUAAU
rnacentral:rRNA from 1 species